rnacentral:rRNA from 1 species
UACGUAGGGGGCAAGCGUUAUCCGGAUUUACUGGGUGUAAAGGGAGCGUAGGCGGCGAUGCAAGCCAGAUGUGAAAGCCCGGGGCUCAACCCCGGGACUGCAUUUGGAACUGUAUAGCUAGAGUGUCGGAGAGGCAGGCGGAAUUCCUAGUGUAGCGGUGAAAUGCGUAGAUAUUAGGAGGAACACCAGUGGCGAAGGCGGCCUGCUGGACGAUGACUGACGUUGAGGCUCGAAAGCGUGGGGAGCAAACAGG